GCGCCCGUCGUUGGGGAGUAGCCGAUUUCUGCCACAGGCAGAAAUGUACAUGUCAACAUACUCGUUAUAUCCGCUCCUGAGAUUAACGUGGCAUGUACGCCUCAGAGUUCUGAGUAGGCGAGACCAUAGGCACGCGCCAUCGUAAAGUUGGGGAUGGUUUGCGUGUAUAUGGAUAUCCCCAACUGAGGC
rnacentral:sRNA from 2 species